AAGCUCGUAGUUGAAUUUCGGGGUCUACCCAUUGGUCAGGCUUAAUUGUCUGCACUGGUGAGAUGGAUCUCUACCUUCUGAGGAACUUUCAUGCCAUUUAUUUGGUGUGAUGGGGAAUCAGGACUGUUACUUUGAAAAAAUUAGAGCGUUUAAAGCAGACUAUCGUCUGAAUACAUUAGCAUGGAAUAAUGAAAUAGGACGGACUGAUUCUAUUUCGUUGGUUUCUAGGAUCACCGUAAUGAUUAAUAGGGAUAGUUGGG
rnacentral:rRNA from 1 species